UGUGGUUUCGGAUAAUGAUAGAACUCACGGCGCCCCUCUUUACUUUCUACGGCGCACCAGGGCGCCGCGGCGCACACUUUGGGAACCCCUGAGUUAUACUAUGCCAAUCAGACCUACUUGACAUAGGUCAAAGUAGAUCUGACCUGCUCCAUCCAAUGCCACAUUAUGGGGCAGCUAAAUCUGUCCGCAAUCACCUUCAGAAUGCUGUUUCGACUUUCCCUUACGCGACCCAUUAGCGACGUGAUUUUUUUACGCAUUAUCGCGUGAAAAUCGUCCGUGUGCGCUUGGGCGAACAUUCCUGAUGCACUGCACCAUUUU